UACGGAGGGGGCUAGCGUUAUUCGGAAUUACUGGGCGUAAAGCGCACGUAGGCGGACUGGAAAGUUGGGGGUGAAAGCCCAGGGCUCAACCCUGGAACUGCCUUCAAAACUCCCAGUCUUGAGGUCGAGAGAGGUGAGUGGAAUUCCGAGUGUAGAGGUGAAAUUCGUAGAUAUUCGGAGGAACACCAGUGGCGAAGGCGGCUCACUGGCUCGAUACUGACGCUGAGGUGCGAAAGCGUCGGGGAGCAAACAGG
rnacentral:rRNA from 1 species